AGGAAGCCUUCCAGACUUCAUUGACAUAUCUGCAUAUAUAGAUGCUGUGAAAAAUGGACAUUCUGGAUUUGCUUCCAGCUAUUACUGUUGACCAGAAGGGAAAAAUUGGUCAACCCUUGAAGAGGGUAUUGUUUUGUGAAGCAUCUUCCUCAGCUGAGGCCUCUGCAUGAUCUUUAGUACUCUGAAGAUCAGAUGAACUCAACUGAGAUUGGAGUUUUGAAAGCUGAGUAUUUUGUCAAACUCUCUGCUUCCUUAAUAGCCUUCAAGUAGCUAUAUAGUAUAUGCAACAGUUUUGGGCUAGUUGCCCUGGUUACACUUGUGCAUUUUGCCAGACUCUCAGAAAGAUGUGAUCCCUAAUUAACCUGAAAAUUAACAGGCUAAUGGCAAGGAUUUCACAACAACUCAGAAAGAGAGGCAGAAAAUAUCCUAGAAAAUGUAAAUCUGAGGUGACACUUGUAAACUUGCUGAAAUAUAUAAUAUUAUGGGAUUUCAAAGGCUGACAGAUUACAAAGUACCAACAUUAAAACAAUAAUUGAGUAUAUAUAUUUUUUCUCAGCUCAGUCCUCCCAUUUAAAAGCUUUGAAGGAAAAUAGAAAAAAAAUGGCUUGAAGAUAUAUUUAGGCCCGCGUCUUAUAGAGUAUGUUAGGGAGUACAUUAAAAAUGGAGUCUACUCUUAAAGAAUUACUGACUGCAUAUUUUGGCCUGUUACCUUUUCUUGUCUUGUGAGUUCAUUUGGUUAGUUUUUCAAAACUAUUUUAUUCUCUAAAGUCAAAUCAAUACUUUUUUCAAGUAUGACUCAUCAUUUGACUUGUAAAAUUGGAUGAAUAAAGUACCUUUAUCAUAUAGUCGGUAUUGGGCAUGAUUUGUGCAGAAAUGGGAAUAACUCACAAUUCCCUGGGUCAUUGACUCCAAUACAUAGAACCUCUAUAGAUAGAUAUAAGUAUUGUAUACUUUGUGACCAAAAGUAAGAAUGGACAAUGUAGCAUUUGAAACCCAGCAGAAAAAGAAGGGAGGAACACUCCCCUGAUAAAGGAAUCCAGGGAAAGUUAACAGACUUAAUUUAGGAAUAGAUGUUGAAAGAAAUAAAUUAAUAUACAUAAAGAUGGAAGAGGAAGACAAAAGAAUUUCAGGCUUUUUUCUUAUAGAAGUCAAACACUUUAGACUGUAAUUAGCCUCAGCAUCUCCCCUUUAUCCCUGACUGACUUUGUACCUUUCAUCUAUCCUCCCUAUUCCUUUACUUGCUUCUCAGUAGCUCAGCAUAAACAUCCAGGAAGUGAAGUCCCUGAAGGGGUUAUUCCUAUGAAAAGACAAGAUUAAAGCAGAUUCUUUAUGCUCUCAAAUCAGUUGGCCUGUUUAAUAUGUUGCUAGUACAAAAAAAUUAUUCAGCUUCCACAAAUUCUGCAUGGUUUCCUCAUUUCUCCUUCUUCCAACAUAACUUCUGUUUCAUGGUGAAUGAAAUAUUGCUUUCAGCAAUUUCAAAGUAACUUCACCUUAUCCACAUGAUUUUAGGGAUCAGAGAAGAGGCCAGAUUAAAUAUUAACCUUCGGCUGCGUUGUUCAUGCUGACACUCAAGCAAAUGUGACUUUUCUGAGCUGACGUUUGGCAGGGGGUCCUAUUUCCUCUAGCUCAAGGCUAGAAAUUAUGGAAUUUAUGCAAAGUUAAGGUCUGUUUUGUGUGAAAUCAAAUGAUAAAAUGAGCACUGGAAACUUGGCAAGGUAUUCUUUUCCUUUUCUUUUCUUUUUAUUAAUCUGGUAAAGAAAACUCUCUCUACUAAAAGCUUGGAGGCUUUCAUUUUUUCUUUCCUUUCUUCUACCAUUGUGCCACUCUGUCUUUUAUUUGCUUUUUCUUUUUAGUAGUGAUAAGGAGAGGGGAGCAGGUGUUUCUAAUAUUAAAUCCUACAUUCCCUGAUGUGGUCUUUGGGUUCUCUAAGAUUUUCUGACAUCUUUGUGGAUUGUCUUGUAACUAUAUGCUUUUUUUCUUCCCUCUGUGAUAUAUGGAUUGUGAAGUCACUGUUUCUUAUGUUUCCAUUCCUGAGGGUUAUUGUGGCUUGCAGAUGACCAUGUUAUGGACACUGUGUUAAGAGCAGUGCUGACUCAGAUGCCACUCGCAGGUGCUUGACAUGACCCAGAAAAGAAUCUAAGGAUGCUUCAAAGCUUUAUUUGAUAAUGAAAGGUGAAGAUAUGCAUCCCUAGAGUAGAAUUUGGCACAAGAAUAUACGUGCUUUGGAAGUUGAAAGUACAUCAGAUUUUGACAGCACAACUGCAUAAAUUACCAAGUAGUUUGGGUGAUUUUCUUUCUCCGAGCAUCUUCAUCAAAUAAAAGUGAUGGUUCCAAAGUCUCCUAGAAGUCAUCACGAUUUUCACUUUAUUGGCACAGUUGACAACAACAGCAAAGGAUCUUUUUGGAUGACUAAAAGGAUCACAGAGAAUGAAGGAGAGUUAUGAUCCAAGCUAACUCCCCAAGCAGACUUCUGCCCAGAUGCACUGUGCAUGAUGCCAAAGCCACAUGAUCAUCCCCUGGGAGAGAGAUACACAGGAGGAAGAAAGCCACGUGAUGAAAAUGGCAGAAACUCUCUAUAAGCUGUGGAACACCAGAGAUGUAGUUUGCAGUACAGGUAUCAUAUCUAAAAAAACAAACCCAUGGGUUGGGGAGUGGGAAAGGAAGAUGGUGAAACAGAGGAAAGAAGCACUUCACAGCAACUCCCUCACAAAGUGAGAAGACAGCUUCUCAGCAAGGGAUAGUGAGUGGAGUUGAAAGAUUUGAAACUUUCUCCUCGAUUCUUCUGCAAGGAAGCAUCUCUUCAUGUGACAAGAGAAUCACAUGAAAAGACUAAAAGUAGGAGCGACAGAAAGUUGACUUGAAGAGCCACGUGUUCCUCUGAGAAGAAGAAUCCUUAUGUAUCCUUUAAAGCUCUUUGGUAAUAACUGGUGACAAGCGCUUGGCAGCUCAGUUGCCACAAUCAAGCUUUAGGAGACAUAAAGUUUCUUAACGAAAGGCUCUGCUUAAGUAAAUCAUCCCAAGAGCAAACAACAUCAUAAACCUGCCAACUUUGAGCAGCUCAAGGUUAGAAACACCAUCUUACACAUUUUGUAUCAAAAGGCUAUCAUAGGACCUGUCACUCAGGUGAUAUUUAAGGAAAAAGAGGACUUUUAAAAUUUAAAGUGAUGUGGUUUGGAUUGACAGUAGAACUAGAAUUUUGUCUGAAAUUUUGUUACUUAUUCAAAAUAAAAUAAUGCGACAUGUUUAAGAAUAAGAAAUCAGUUUUUAUUAGAAAUAGAUAUCUUAAAUUGUAGAAUUCAGAUGAAAGAUCUUUCUUGAUCAAGGUCAUUGGGCACAUGCAAACAUUUGUUUUGCCAAUGUUACCCUUUAUUGUGAACUUUGCCUAGGUCUUAUGAGUCGAGAUAAGUAAAUAGUCACAUGAGCUAAAAUUUAUGCUGAUAAGAGUAGAAAUUUAAGAAGAAAUCUAUGCCUCAUCUAAGGAGGUCUAAAAGGUCACAGCUUUAGGAUGAACUUCACCCAUAUUAAUGUGAUUGUAUUUAAACUUCUUGUUUGUAGAAAUGCAGUAUCCUCUUUAAAAGUAGUUAAUGCCUAUGUAGUUCAAUUGUAUUUGGAUUUUUAAAAACUUGAAGUUAAAUGUGUUAUAAAAUGCUUUUGAUAGAAUUUGUCAUACUUCUAUUCAGAAUGUUAGAAAAUUUAUAUUCCUGCCAGUAGCUGAGGCUCUACGUAUGCAUCCUUGCUGAUACACUAACCACAUGAUUAUGCUUUUGUUGUUGUUGCAGUGCCCUAAUAAGGUGUUGUUUUAGUCAGCUCUCUUCACUGCUGUGACUAAAGGACCUGAUCAAAACAAUAGAAGAGGAAAAAUUUAUUAGAAGUUUAUGAUUUCAGAGGUCUUAAUCCAUAGACUGCAGGCUCCAUUCCUUUGGGCUGGAGGUGAAGUGGAACAUCAUAGCAGAAGGAUUGUGGCAAAAGGAAAUAGUUCAAUGGUAAUAAGGAAGCCAAGAGACUUUUUGAUACAGAUACAAAAUAUACCCCAAAGCCACGCCCCCAGUGAACCAUGUCUUCCAGCCACUCCCCACCUCCCCACUCAGUUAAUCACAUCAGCGAUCAAUUCACUGAUUAUGUUAAAGCAAUAACCCAACCAUUUCUGCUUCAAACCUUCUUGUGUUACCUCACAUGUAAGCUUUUGGGGGACACCUCACAUCCAAACCAUAGCAAGUGUAGUGGUGGUCUAUCUCACUGGUGUUUUAGCUUCAUUUCACUAAUAAAUAGCUGUUGAUAUGGUGCUCA